GGGCCCGCACAAGCGGCGGAGCAUGCGGAUUAAUUCGAUGCAACGCGAAGAACCUUACCUGGGUUUGACAUGGCGGCUAAAGCCACAGAGAUGUGGUGUCCUUCGGGGGCCGUCACAGGUGGUGCAUGGCUGUCGUCAGCUCGUGUCGUGAGAUGUUGGGUUAAGUCCCGCAACGAGCGCAACCCUCGUUCCAUGUUGCCAGCGGGUAAUGCCGGGGACUCAUGGGAGACUGCCGGGGUCAACUCGGAGGAAGGUGGGGAUGACGUCAAGUCAUCAUGCCCCUUAUGUCCAGGGCUUCACGCAUGCUACAAUGGCCGGUACAAAGGGCUGCGAUACCGCAAGGUGGAGCGAAUCCCAAAAAGCCGGUCUCAGUUCGGAUCGGGGUCUGCAACUCGACCCCGUGAAGUCGGAGUCGCUAGUAAUCGCAGAUCAGCAAUGCUGCGGUGAAUACGUUCCCGGGCCUU
rnacentral:rRNA from 1 species